rnacentral:rRNA from 1 species
CGCAACCCUUGUCUUUAGUUGCCAUCAUUAAGUUGGGCACUCUAGAGAGACUGCCAGGGAUAACCUGGAGGAAGGUGGGGAUGACGUCAAAUCAUCAUGCCCCUUAUGCUUAGGGCUACACACGUGCUACAAUGGGUAGUACAGAGGGUUGCCAAGCCGUAAGGUGGAGCUAAUCCCUUAAAGCUACUCUCAGUUCGGAUUGUAGGCUGAAACUCGCCUACAUGAAGCUGGAGUUACUAGUAAUCGCAGAUCAGAAUGCUGCGGUGAAUGCGUUCCCGGGUCUUGUACACACCGCCCGUCACACCACGGGAGUUGGAGACGCCCGAAGCCGAUUAUCUAACCUUUUGGAAGAAGUCGUCGAAGGUGGAAUCAAUAACUGGGGUGAAGUCGUAACAAGGUAGCCGUAUCGGAAGGUGCGGCUGGAUCACCUCCUUUCUAAGGA